rnacentral:rRNA from 1 species
GACGAACGCUGGCGGCGUGCCUAAUACAUGCAAGUAGAACGCUGAAGCGAGGAGCUUGCUCUUCUUGGAUGAGUUGCGAACGGGUGAGUAACGCGUAGGUAACCUGCCUUGUAGCGGGGGAUAACUAUUGGAAACGAUAGCUAAUACCGCAUAACAAUGGAUGACACAUGUCAUUUAUUUGAAAGGGGCAAUUGCUCCACUACAAGAUGGACCUGCGUUUUAUUAGCUAGUAGGUGAGGUAAUGGCUCACCUAGGCGACGAUACAUAGCCGACCUGAGAGGGUGAUCGGCCACACUGGGACUGAGACACGGCCCAGACUCCUACGGGAGGCAGCAGGAGGGAAUCUUCGGAAAUGGGGGCAACCCUGACCGAGCAACGCCGCGUGAGUGAAGAAGGUUUUCGGAUCGUAAAGCUCUGUUGUAAGUCAAGAACGGGUGUGAGAGUGGAAAGUUCACACUGUGACGGUAGCUUACCAGAAAGGGACGGCUAACUACGUG